rnacentral:rRNA from 1 species
AAUCAACGCUGGCGGCGUGCCUAACACAUGCAAGUCGAACGCGAGAGGGGGCUUCGGGCCCCGAUUGAGUGGCGAACGGGUGAGUAACGCGUGGGUGACCUACCUUCGAGUGGGGGAGUAACGUCCCGAAAGGGACGCUAAUACCGCAUAACAUCCUGCUUUUGAAUGGGUGGAGAUCAAAGCCGGGGAUCGCAAGACCUGGCGCUUGAUGAGGGGCCCGCGUCUGAUUAGCUAGUUGGGAGGUAACGGCCCACCAAGGCAACGAUCAGUAUCCGGCCUGAGAGGGCGGACGGACACACUGGGACUGAGACACGGCCCAGACUCCUACGGGAGGCAGCAGUGGGGAAUUGUUCGCAAUGGGCGCAAGCCUGACGACGC